GUCUUGGGCUGCCGAGGGCCCUGGAUCUGGGCCUGGAUGAGGAUCUCAGCGCCCUUGGACAUGGGAGGAGGCGGGGAGUGGAGGAGGGAGUUUCUACCCGCAGUGCUCUGGUCUCCUGUCCCUGACGCCUGAAGUCCCAGGCACGGCUUCAUAGGGUUGCACGGUGUCAGGUGUUUGAAAACAUGACCUGCUUAGCUCUGUACCUUUGAAGUGAUCCCUGCCUCCACCCUGGACCUGCCUCCUCAGCUGUCCUACAGUUCCCUGCCUCCUACAGGCUGCCAGGACCCGCAGUGCUACAGUGUCCCAGCUGUGCUGUCCCCAGAGCUCUG